UCCCUUGUGGCUCAACCGGUAAAGAAUCUGCCUGCAAUGCAGGAGACCUGGGUUCGAUCCCUGGGUUGGGAA
rnacentral:tRNA from 1 species